GCCAAAAACUCCACAGGGUUCAUGUCAGUAUCAUCAACUAUCGCAUGCACACCUAACACAUCAUUCAUAAAUCCGGGUCUUGAAUUCCCAUUGUAAGGAUGUACCUCCCUACCAUUGCCAAGAAGCUGAUCACUGCUAACGAAUUGCUUGUCCCAAGGCUUAGUAGGCAAAUUCAAAUAACUAGCUGAAGUUGGAUCUUCUCCAUAAGAACUAGCAACAUGUCUCAUCUUUUCACCGAAGCUACCAUUUAUAUGUCGACGAGAUGGCUCCUGUUGCUCAGGCAAUACGUAUCCACUGCCCAAAGAAACAGGGAACUUUGUCACUUCACUGCUGUCAUGUAAAAGCCUGCUAAAGAGAUCCCUCCAAGUGCUUGAGGCUCAUCUUCACUCAUGACGUUAAAGUCAGGGGUGAUAUCAUCGGGGAGCUGGUGGUGCCAGAAUUGAUGGCCCUCAUCAUCAGAAGCAUUAGAAACAGAUGACUCCGAUCGGUCAAGCACCGCUUUCCCUAUGGUCCCAGAAGCAGGAAAUCUUGCAGCAGCAGCUACUGUGUUUGACUUACUUCCAGAUGGUGAAGAUGAUGAUCUGAGGGAAAAGGGAACAAAUUCUGCUGCAUUGGGAUUCAAAGCCGUUGCCUUUGUAUUGUUGGUUUGAGACCCUUUCUUGGACAAGUUCAUUUCUAUGCCAAAAUAGAAACAAAAAGCUCUACAUGCAUAUACAAACACUGACACAAAGAAUAACCUUGAGUAGCAGGAGGCUUUAUCCAAAACCUUUGCGAACCAAAU
rnacentral:misc_RNA from 1 species